rnacentral:tRNA from 1 species
GGAGGGGUGCGAGAGCGGCCGAAUCGGCACGAUUGGAAAUCGUGUGACCUUCACGGGUCCGUGGGUUCAAAUCCCACCCUCUCCG